rnacentral:rRNA from 1 species
CACGUAGGGUGCGAGCGUUGUCCGGAAUUAUUGGGCGUAAAGAGCUUGUAGGCGGUCUGUCGCGUCUGCUGUGAAAAUCCGGGGCUCAACCCCGGACUUGCAGUGGGUACGGGCAGACUAGAGUGUGGUAGGGGAGACUGGAAUUCCUGGUGUAGCGGUGAAAUGCGCAGAUAUCAGGAGGAACACCGAUGGCGAAGGCAGGUCUCUGGGCCGCUACUGACGCUGAGAAGCGAAAGCAUGGGGAGCGAACAGG